UACGUAGGGGGCGAGCGUUGUCCGGAAUCAUUGGGCGUAAAGCGCGUGUAGGCGGCCCGAAAAGUCUGGUGUGAAAUCUCGAGGCUCAACCUCGAGCUGUCACUGGAUACUGUCGGGCUCGAGUCCGGAAGAGGAGUGUGGAAUUCCUGGUGUAGCGGUGGAAUGCGCAGAUAUUAGGAGGAACACCAAUGGCGAAGGCAGCACUCUGGUACGUGACUGACGCUGAGACGCGAAAGCGUGGGGAGCAAACAGG
rnacentral:rRNA from 1 species